rnacentral:tRNA from 1 species
UUGAUAUGUGAGGUAGUUGUUGAUUAACUUGCAAUUAAUCUAAAUGGAUAUUAGCCAUACUAUGGA